rnacentral:rRNA from 1 species
UACGAAGGGGGCUAGCGUUGCUCGGCAUCACUGGGCGUAAAGGGCGCGUAGGCGGGCUGCCAAGUCUGGGGUGAAAUCCCACGGCUCAACCGUGGAACUGCCUCGGAUACUGGCGGCCUCGAGGGGGGUAGGGGCGUGCGGAACUGUGGGUGGAGCGGUGAAAUGCGUUGAUAUCCACAGGAACUCCGGUGGCGAAGGCGGCACGCUGGACCUCUUCUGACGCUGAGGCGCGAAAGCCAGGGGAGCAAACGGG